GAUGAAGAACGCAGCGAAAUGCGAUAAGUAAUGUGAAUUGCAGAAUUCAGUGAAUCAUCGAAUCUUUGAACGCACAUUGCGCCCACCAGUAUUCUGGCGGGCAUGCCUGUCCGAGCGUCAUUUCAACCCUCGAACCCCUCCGGGGGGUCGGCGUUGGGGAUCGGCACUUACCUGCCGGCCCCGAAAUACAGUGGCGGUCUCGCCGCAGCCUCUCCUGCGCAGUAGUUUGCACACUCGCACCGGGAGCGCGGCGCGUCCACGGCCGUAAAACAACCCAAACUUCUGAAAUGUUGACCUCGGAUCAGGUAGGAAUACCCGCUGAACUUAAGCAUAUCAAUAAGCGGAGGA
rnacentral:misc_RNA from 1 species